UUGAAAGGGAAACGAUUGAAGUCAGUCGUGCAGUCAUCAACUCAACGGUAUCGUGAGGUAAUUUAUUGCUUUACGUUUCCGUGUACUUUGUUGUCUGCUGGUUAGCAUCAAUUUUGAUUGUCAUAAAAAGGUUAAGGGGAUGUGGCUCCUUCGGGAGUGUUAUAACCCUUGGCGGAAUGUGGCGAUUGGGAUUGAGGUUUGCACGAUUAUAGUUUCCUGGCCUCUCAUCGACGUCUGAAUUGUGGAAGCUUGCUGAAGCAGUUUAGACCGUUAGUGAAAAGGUUGGAGCGACUAGAUCGUUAAGGAUUGACGUA
rnacentral:rRNA from 1 species